CAGCUCUGAUCUCCAGGUUCUUGUGGAAAGCCGGACUAGCUCAUAACUGCUUAGAAUUCAUCUUACUGAAGCUUAUUUUUAAAACUUUCGUUGUGUUCUCCUGUCUUCUGAUCACCAUAAUUUCUGAUGAGAAGAGAGUGUCCAUGUGAAUCCUUGUACCACUGUGUCUUUUAUUUCUUCAUCUCGCCUAAUUGCUCCAGCUAGAACCCCCAGCACUGUGUGGGACAGCGGCAGGGAGAGCGGGCAUCCUUGCCCCU